rnacentral:tRNA from 1 species
CCCUAUCUAGCUCAGUUGGUAGAGCAUGGUGCUUGCAAUGCCAGGGUUGUGGGUUCGAUUCCCACAGGGG